AUACGGAGGGUGCAAGCAUUAAUCGGAUUUAUUGGGCGUAAAGGGCGUCUAGGUGGGGUUGUCAGUCAGGCGUGAAAUCCCGGAGCUCAACUCCGGAACUGCGCUUGAAACUACAGCUCUUGAGGGUAGGCGGGGUCAACGGAAUUCCACGUGUAGCGGUGAAAUGCGUAGAUAUGUGGAAGAACACCGGUGGCGAAGGCGGUUGACUAGCUUAUACCUGACACUGAAGCGCGAAAGCAAGGGGAGC
rnacentral:rRNA from 1 species